rnacentral:rRNA from 1 species
AUGGACAUGUCUGGCGUGAGCGCGGUGGACAGCCCUGGAGGCGGCAGCGCGUCGUCGGUGUUGGGAGCGCCGCGGCCGAGCAGGUACGAGUCGCAGAAGCGGCGGGACUGGCAGACGUUCGGGCAGUACCUACGGAACCACCGCCCCCCGCUGGAGCUGGCGCGGUGCAGCGGCGCGCACGUGCUGGAGUUCCUCCGGUACCUGGACCAGUUCGGCAAGACCAAGGUGCACAACGCAGGGUGCCCUUUCUUCGGCCACCCCUCGCCGCCGGCGCCAUGCCCGUGCCCGCUGAAGCAGGCGUGGGGGUCCCUGGACGCGCUGGUGGGCCGCCUCCGCGCCGCCUUCGAGGAGCACGGCGGCCGCCCGGAGGCCAACCCGUUCGGGGCGCGCGCCGUCAGGCUCUACCUCCGCGACGUCCGCGACGGCCAGGCCAAGGCGCGCGGCAUCGCCUACGAGAAGAAGCGCCGGAAGAGGCACCCCCAGACGUCGUCGAAGCAGAAGCAGCAGGCGGAGCCGGCCUCCGCCGCGGCCAGCCCGGCGCCCGUGGACAGGCCCGACAUGCGGCAUGGCAUGCUGGAGCAGACGCACUACCUGUUCCCCAUGCACGCGCACCUGUUCCAGGGACACUUCCUGGCGCCGGCGCCCGACGGCGACCCCGUGGGAGCCCUGGAUGGCGUAGUCCCCGCCGGGGAUGACAUCGUGAUGGUGAUGGCGGCCGCGGCAGCCGCCGCCGAGGCGCACGCUGCCGGGUGCAUGAUGCCGCUGUCCGUGUUCAACUAG